UACGUAGGUGGCAAGCGUUGUCCGGAUUUAUUGGGUUUAAAGGGUGCGUAGGCGGUUCAUUAAGUCAGUGGUGAAAUCCGGCAGCUUAACUGUCGAGGUGCCAUUGAUACUGGUGAGCUUGAGUACUGAUGAGGUAGGCGGAAUGGACGGUGUAGCGGUGAAAUGCUUAGAGAUCGUCCAGAACACCGAUAGCGAAGGCAGCUUACUAAGGAGUAACUGACGCUGAGGCACGAAAGUGUGGGGAGCAAACAGG
rnacentral:rRNA from 1 species